UACGUAGGGUGCAAGCGUUAAUCGGAAUUACUGGGCGUAAAGCGUGCGCAGGCGGUUUUGUAAGUUUGUCGUGAAAUCCCCGGGCUCAACCUGGGAAUGGCGAUGAAGACUGCAAGGCUAGAGUUUGGCAGAGGGGGGUAGAAUUCCACGUGUAGCAGUGAAAUGCGUAGAUAUGUGGAGGAACACCGAUGGCGAAGGCAGCCCCCCUGGGUCAAAAACUGACGCUCAUGCACGAAAGCGUGGG
rnacentral:rRNA from 1 species